GACUAAGUAGCUCAGUAGGUAGAGCACAUCCCUUUUAAGGAUGGGGUCCUGGGUUCGAAUCCCAGCUUGGUCA
rnacentral:tRNA from 1 species